CCUACGGGUGGCAGCAGUAGGGAAUAUUGCGCAAUGGGCGAAAGCCUGACGCAGCAACGCCGCGUGAAUGAUUAAGCCCUUCGGGGUGUAAAGAUCUGUCAGUGGGGACGAAACUUGACGGUACCCACAGAGGAAGCACCGGCUAACUCCGUGCCAGCAGCCGCGGUAAUACGGAGGGUGCAAGCGUUGUCCGGAAUCAUUGGGCGUAAAGAGUUCGUAGGUGGUAUAUUAAGUCGGGUGUUAAAGGCAGAAGCUUAACUUCUGUUCGGCACUGGAUACUGGUAAGCUUGAUUGCGGUAGAGGUAAAGGGAAGUCCUGGUGUAGCGGUGAAAUGCGUAGAUAUCAGGAGGAACACCGGUGGCGUAGGCGCUUUACUGGGCCGUAAUUGACGCUGAGGAACGAAAGCGGGGGGAGCAAAUAGGAUUAGAUACCCGAGUAGUC
rnacentral:rRNA from 1 species